CAGUCCGGUCCGUUGUGCGUCUCCGAACCGAACCCACACCCUGCUCGAGCUUCAGUAAAUGUACACGCAGUAUUUAAACGACAUGGAGUCUUUACGUCACAAAAGUGAAAGAUGCAUGACUUGUUUUUAAGGCGAGCUCGCAGUUAAGUUGAAGGCAAACACCCCGCAGGGGCGGAGUUGGUUCGGUCUGUAGUAGGUGGAACUGGCGAGCGGUCUGCAGCAGGACGUCGUAGAUCAAUGAACCGGACCGGAGGGCUGGACCGUCGCCUGCCUUGCAUCUGACUGGAUCGAUGUGUCAGUAUAUAUAUGCAGGACUGGGCUUCUAUUACAAUUAAUCAUCUCCUUCAUUAUGCGGGUGCUCUGAGCCGACUGGCUGCGUGAAAGGCUUCGUCCACCACUCGCAUUCCGCCUCUAGUGGCUCCUUCGUGCGAUUUUAUUUUUGAGGGGGGACAUCAAAUAAAAGCCAGUCCGUGUAACCUCCAGGAUGAUCUUUGCGAACACAGGCAACCCGUUGAAGACAACCGGUCGGAAGCAGUCCUAUCCCAUGACGCCGUCCAGUCCCAGCAGCAGCAGCAACAGCAGCAGCACAGGACUAGAACAGCUCAGCAAGACCAACCUGUACAUUCGUGGCCUGCCUCCUGCUACGACAGACCUGGACCUGGUCAAACUCUGUCACCAGUACGGCAAAAUUCAGUCAGCAAAGGCAAUCCUGGACAAGACCACCAACAAAUGUAAAGGUUACGGCUUCGUGGACUUCGACAGCCCGGCGGCUGCUUUAAAGGCUGUGCAUGCUCUGAAAACCAGCGGCAUACAGGCCCAGAUGGCCAAGCAACAGGAGCAAGAUCCCACAAAUUUGUACAUCUCCAACCUGCCUCUUUCUGUGGACGAGAAGGAGCUAGAGAACAUGCUGCAGCCCUUCGGCCAGGUGGUUUCCACACGGAUUCUGAGGGACUACAGCGGCAACAGCCGAGGCGUAGGAUUCGCCAGGAUGGACACAACGGAGCAAUGUAACACGGUCAUCUCCCACUUCAAUGGGAAGUAUAUCAAGACGGCUUCUGGAGUUCUGGCUCCCUCUCAGCCUUUGCUGUGUAAGUUUGCUGACAGUCAAAGGAAGAAACAUGCUCACGGCGGAUAUAUUCCCAAUGGGCAGACAGGGGAUCUCAGGCUAGGUGCAAUGACCCUCAGCUAUGACCCCUCCUCAGGAGCUCUGCAGAAUGGGUACUAUCCUUCUCCGUAUCCAGUGGCUAAUAGGAUAAUGACCGUGCAGCCUGCGAUGUCCCCCUACAUGUCUCCAGUCUCUGCUUACCAGGUGCAGAGUCAUUCUUGGGUGGCACAGCAACCAUAUAUCAUGCAACACCCGGCUGCUGUGAUGUCUCCCUCUGUGGAUCCCUCAAUGUCACUGCAUCCAACAGCCAUGAUUACGCAGCAGAUGGGUCAGCUGUCACUGGGAAACACUGGAGUGUAUAUUGCAGCCAACCCUGGUGUCCAGGGAAGCUACAUGCCUCAUUAUCCUCCCAUGCAGGCGCCGCCCGUGAGUAUACGGUCCUUUGGUUUGACUCGUCCUUCAGCGCAGGCGUCUUUCACAGUCAGUCCCAUCACCUUCCAGCCACGAGUUGUUUCCCGACUGUUUGUUAUCUCCAACUAUCAAUUAACUCUGUGCUCGUGCAGUGAACAUAGCUAUUAUCCCAUUGUGAAUUAGAGACUCUGUUUUGGCUUUUCAGGAAAGUGGCACACCACAGCAAGUGGAUUCUUCCAACAAUUCAUCUCCUUACAGUCAACUCAGCAAGUAAAUGCAGUCUUCUGCCUCCUGUUCCUUCACUUGCAGGCUGCGCUGCUGCUCUGGGAGCCAGGGAGCAGGUGGGAAGUUGCUGAUAACAGUCGCCACCUUCUCUGAUUGGACCAGAUACAUGAACUUUUUUUGCACAACCCCAAAACUUAUGGUGGAAAUUAGGACAGAGUCAAUAGAGUCAAGCAGUUGGCUAAUAGAAAAAACAACAACAUUUAUUUUAAUAUUUGAUUCUCGGUCAAAUGCCAGAGGAGUCCCACCCCCUUUCAAGCUUUCCUCACCUUUCCCUUCCCUAGUUACCCCCCAGUAUGACGUGAUAUUAAAAUGCAUGAGAUUGAGACAUUUUCCCCUUCAAGGUUUCUAUGAUUUUUUUAUAGCCCCUUUUAGCUGAUAUGUGGAAAAAACCUUGCCAAACACUUGUUUGCUUGCACUGAAGGUUAAGUGUCACAGUAGCUUCAGUUUGAGAGCUCGCAAAAUCAAUUUAGGUCAAACUGUGCUGGGAAGCUGACGCUGGCAACCACUUCAUUAGGAUAUUGAUCAAUUAAAUCAUUGGAUAAGGUGCCUUCCUUAUAAUUCACAACUCACAAAUGUUCUCCAACAUUUUUUCAUUGAACUUGAUCAGGUGUCAUUUUUUUAUCUGAACUGUGUGUGUGUGUGUGUGUGUGUGUGUGUGUGUGUGUGUGUGUGUGUGUGUGUGUGUGUGUGUGUGUGUGUGUGUGUGUGUGUGUGUGUGGAAUCAGGGAGAUUUGACUUGAGUGUUUCGCUAUCUAGUCUCUUGGUAGCAAUAAAGACAAUGAGCGUCCCAUGGCAAUACUGACAAAAAUGAACAAUGACAAACUCAGAGCAAGGUAAUUCCUCAUUUCUUGUUUUUUAAAGUUCAAGGUAAUACAUUAAACAGUAGUCGUAAUUUUAUGAAAUGACGAGUUUUACACCCAGUGGGCGUCUUUUAGGAGUUUUUUUUCUCUUGUGGUCAGUUCGACCGGUGAUCUACCUCAUGGUUCUGCUUCAGUCUGCUGGUGGGUUUGGGGGUUUGCAGGUAAAGCCCCCUUUUCACUAGAGAGGACCAAACAGAGCAACAGCCAAGCUCAGGAGCUGGCUAAAUAGGACUUGGACCGUUUGUCUCCCACCUGCAGCAUUUGCUUCCUUAUGGCUGAUUUUCAAACGUUGUGCUUUCUUCCUUUCUUGUUACUGCUUCUUUCUUCUUUUGCUCCACAUGGUGAGCGUUUGCCCAGUUGUGAUGCUUCUUUUUAGAGAAUCAAAGUAAGAUUAGUAGCUUCUAGUUCAAAUCGUGUUUGAAACAAAUGAGUGCCGGUUCUGUGCAUUUAUUUGGUACAUUCUGCCUUUGCCGUUCUAGACUAAACAUAGUUGACUAACUGCUUUCCCUAACCUUCUCUCUUUUUCCUUCAGAGAAUACAAUUUGGUAUGUUGGGUUUACGCUGCUUCUUAAACGCUUUCCAGACAUAACAAAUAUCUCUACUUUUGUAAAAUAUGCAGCAAUGAUGUAUUAGGGGACUUUAAAAUGGAGGUUGAAAUCAUGCGUCGGACAGCAUGUAUUUAGCAGAUUGGCUUCUUAAGAAAAACAUUUGUAAGGUAUAAAUCUUACACUCAAGGCCUAACGUGAAAGAGUUUUAUUGUUUGCUUUUUUUAUUUCUGAUGAAAAAACACAAAGCAAAGAAACAAGAAAAAUGGUCUCAGCUGUAUGGUCACGGCACUCUCCCUGAUCUGCCUCAGCCAUUAAUGCUCACAAGUAGGAAAAUACCAGCAGUGACCAAAAUGUAUUUUCCCAUUUUGAAUAUUAGUUGGUUGAAACAAUACCUUAAAAUCAUGUGUACAUGUUUUUUCCUCAUUGCUUCACCUGUUACCUUCAACUGUUUCUCAGUCUUCUCCUUGCUCUCCCCUUUGAAAAGACUGGAAUAAAAACAGCGCUGAAUAAAAGGCUCUUCCUUUUCUCAGAUAGAA